UGGUGGGGCGCAAGCAGAGAAGCGUGGUUGGUAUUGCUGUUAUCACAUUUGCUUACUGUCUCUGCCUUGUAGCCGUCGUGUAAAUUUACCGACCGAAAUUUACACGGAACUAAGCAUAAAAAUGACCGAGCAGGCCGCGUUGUUACUCCGCAAACAACUAAAAGAGCUCAACAAACACCCCGUGCAGGGCUUUUCUGCAGGUCCGAUAGAUGAUGAUGACAUCUACCAUUGGGAAGUGGUUAUCAUGGGUCCUCAAGAUACAAUGUUUGAGGGUGGUCUCUUCAAAGCCAUGUUGACCUUUCCUCGUGACUACCCUUUGAAUCCUCCCAAGAUGAGGUUUAUCACAGACAUGUGGCAUCCCAAUGUGGCAGUCACCGGUGAGGUGUGCAUCUCCAUCCUGCAUGCACCUGGAGAGGACAAGUACGGCUAUGAGAGACCUGAGGAGCGCUGGCUACCUAUCCAUACAGUGGAGACCAUCUUAAUUAGUGUUAUUUCUAUGUUAGCAGACCCUAAUGCAGACUCUCCUGCCAACGUGGAAGCAGCUAGAGAGUAUAGGGAGGACCCAACAGGGACGUUCAAGAGGAAAGUAACACGCUGUGUAAGGAAGAGUCAGGAUAGCUUUUGAUAAAGACCUUACUCCAAUCAUCAACCCCGAUGAUGUCAAAGAAAGUUGAAUCAGUUCAUCUGGACACAACGUUUAUUGAGAGAGAAACGUUUCAUCACUCAUCUACGUGACCGCUUCAGUCUCAUCUGUCCAGGUUGGAGAUGAUCAACUGGGUAUUGAACUUGGGCUUGUAGUUGACUAGUAGGAC